ACACAUGCAAGUCGAGGGGCAGCGGAGAGGUAGCAAUACCUUUGCCGGCGACCGGCGCACGGGUGAGUAACACGUAUGCAAUCCACCUGUAACAGGGGGAUAACCCGGAGAAGUCCGGACUAAUACCCCAUAAUAUGGGCGCUCCGCAUGGAGAGCCCAUUAAAGAGAGCAAUUUUGGUUACAGACGAGCAUGCGCUCCAUUAGCCAGUUGGCGGGGUAACGGCCCACCAAGGCGACGAUGGAUAGGGGUUCUGAGAGGAAGGUCCCCCACAUUGGAACUGAGACACGGUCCAAACUCCUACGGGAGGCAGCAGUGAGGAAUAUUGGUCAAUGGUCGGCAGACUGAACCAGCCAAGUCGCGUGAGGGAAGACGGCCCUACGGGUUGUAAACCUCUUUUGUCGGAGAGUAAAGUACGCUACGCGUAGCGUAUUGCAAGUAUCCGAAGAAAGAGCAUCGGCUAACUCCGUGCCAGCAGCCGCGGUAAUACGGAGGAUGCGAGCGUUAUCCGGAUUUAUUGGGUUUAAAGGGUGCGUAGGCGGCACGCCAAGCCAGCGGUGAAAUUUCCGGGCUCAACCCGGAGUGUGCCGUUGAAACUGGCGAGCUAGAGUGCACAAGAGGCAGGCGGAAUGCGUGGUGUAGCGGUGAAAUGCAUAGAUAUCACGCAGAACCCCGAUUGCGAAGGCAGCCUGCUAGGGUGCGACAGACGCUGAGGCACGAAAGCGUGGGUAUCGAACAGGAUUAGAUACCCUGGUAGUCCACGCAGUAAACGAUGAAUACUAACUGUUUGCGAUACAAUGUAAGCGGUACAGCGAAAGCGUUAAGUAUUCCACCUGGGG
rnacentral:rRNA from 1 species